GAGGACGAGGGAGACGACGACAGCGAAAAUCAGCUCGACCGACAGGAGCCGAGCGGGGACGGAGAGGAGCGGAACGUCACGAAGGCUGACGAGGGCACACGGGGGGACUGACGGAGAUAACCGAGGUGAGUGUCCCAAUACCCGAUUUCAACUGAGCAUGCGCAGGGUUGCAUAAUGAUAAAAUCCACAAAAAACGUCAAUAAAGGAGUAAAAUAACAGGAUUUUAAGCCACAAGGUGAUUUAAUAGUGUUGUGUUAAAAGUCUGUCGCAUUUAUUCUUUAAUGUGGGAUAAUUUAGUCCCUUUUUUGAGAGUGGGUGCAAUCUUAAAAUUUAAAAAACGUCAAUAAAGGAGUAAAAUAAUAGGAUUUUAAGACACAAGGUGAUUUAAUCUGAUUGUAAAAAAAAGUCUGUCGCAUGAAUUCUUUAAUGUGGAAUAAUUUAUUUUCCUUUUUGAGAGUGGAUGCAAUUUUAAAAUUUUAAAAAUACAACAUCUAAAAAAUCAGACUGUACUGUAGUUUUUUUAGUUUUAACACUUUAGAUGUCAUUUUUGCACUAAUUUUAAUUUAAAAUGAUGAUAUUACACAGUGCCCCCGCUUUAUUUUGGAUUAGAGUUUUAAAUAAGACUUUUUAAAACAGAAAAAACAUUUAAAAAUCUUAAAAUAAUAAUUGGCUCAUGUUUUGUUUUGUCAUAUUAUGUUAUUGUGUUUUAUAAGGCUUUUGCUUUACAUAUUUACCCUUUCAAGUGGAGCCAACCGAAAUUUGAAGCGUAAUAUUGACAGUAAGAUACUAAUAUCUUAAAUAUUUGCCAAAAAGAGUCAUGUAUGUCAGAAAAAAAACUUAUUUUAAACACUUUAUUUAGCAGUCAUGAUCAGGCAGAUUGGUUUUCUAGUAUUUUAAGUCCUGGAGUGCGGUGCAGUGUCGAUACACAAGGUGGCAGCAAAUCUCUUCUUUAUUUCCUCCCACUGUGACAGCUUGUGUUGAGUUGCCCUGUUAUGAAACGUCUGGGCACAUGUUUCUUUUAUCCGGGCCUUAUACGAUCAGUUAACUGUGAAUAAGAUUAACUGUGAUACUAGCUUUAUACAGCCAAACCAUAUUGUGACUUUAAUGAGAAACCAGUGGUCUCCUACAGCCUUGUAUUACUUAUUAUGUGCUAUUUACAGCCCUCGUGAUCCACAUUACAUUUGCUUCUCCUUGGACGUCGAAUCCGGUCAUAAAAUGUGCUCAUUAACUCUGUCACUCGGCGUGCGAGAGGGCCGGUGCUGCAGGAACGAAAUGGGUUCUAAGCUGUGGCAGCUGGUCAAAAUCCUGCAGGGAAAAUGAGACUUCAGACCAAUUUAUGAGCAUCAUCUCUAUGUGCGAGGUCAUUCCAAAGGUCUCUUUACACACACACACACGCUCGGACACACAGAUGUCAAACAUACCCAUCUUCACCUAUCCGGUGAUUGACUACAGCAGGGGUGCAAACAUAUUCACUGUUGAUUGAACCAGCCAUGUGCCAUAAAAACGGCCUUUUUUUCCCUGUAAUUAUGGCACGUCAGUCACACAGCAGCCCUCAAAUAUGUCAAUGAAUUGAUUGUACACUUAUUUCCACUAGAGAUAAAGAGCAUGCAACUUUACAUUAGUGAAAAAGAAGCUGCUUUGCUUAUCUAUGAGUGCAUUUGACGAUGUAAGCUGUGCACUUUAAGAUUAUUGGAUGCAUUAUUCCUAUUUGCUUUAUGUAAGGCUUACUUGUUAUUAUGCAACAGUAAAAAAAGUAGAUGCAGAUUCAUAUCUAAAAAAAGAGACACUUAUUUCUGUCUCAAACUAAAAUAAUUCAUGAAUAAAUGACGUCCAUGUUUUCCAAAAAGAAAUGCCAAAUUUGACAAUUCCCUGGACAGUUUUAUAUUUGUAUUUAUUUAGUACAGAUUAAAAACAGUGCAAGGAGGGAAUGAAGGCGAUAGGCUGAUACAGAGUUCAACUCCUGUCAGGGUAGUGAAGGCAUAGGGUGCAAACAACACAGUAAUCAGGACGUAGACGGGUUAUAAAUAUACAGUGAUUAGGGAAAGGUCAAACAGAUACAAAUUGUCAUAAAUAGAACACCGACUUAUCAUCAAACAGUGAUAGAAACAAUAUAAGUAUUCAUAGAAAGGAAAGAAACAUGAUCAUGAUAUAAUCAAUAAUAAUGUGUUUAAGACAUGAUCAGAUGAGAUUUUAAUGAUAACUUUAAGGCUUUGAGGGAUGAUAUUGAUUUUAUAGAUGCAUCCAGAUUAUUCCACAGUUUUGGUCCUCUAAAAGUGAUAUUAGACUGAUGACUAGUAGUUUGACAGGAAGUCAACUGAAGAUGUGCGUGUUGUCUUGUUGAGUACGGGUGAAGGUGAGAUGAAAAGGUAAAAAAGUUUGGGAAAGUUUCAGGUUCAGGAAGGUUUUGUUUGUUAUUGAUGAACAAACAAAAGUGAAAGACAUUGAGUUUGUCGAUCGGUAAGAUGGAGUAUUUAGAAAAGAGAGGUGCAGAAGGUUCGUGUUUGCUCGAUCUAGAUAUCACACUUAAGAAUCUUUUCUUGAUUAAUGAUAUUUUAUUGAUGUAAGUUGGAUACGUUGCACAACAUAUAAUAUUACAAUAGUUCAUAUAAGGAAAUAGGAAGUUAUAAUACAGAGACAAGUGAGCAGAGGGAUUGAUCGGGGACAGACCUUAUUAAUUAUACCGAGGCUCUUUACUUGACUCAUCAAGGACAACACCCAAAAAAGUGGUGUGGGUUUCUUGAGAGAUAUCAGUACCGUUAUUGAUAUGGGUUUAUAUGGUUUUCUCUUUGCAUAGUGCAGUUUUGACCUGAAGGUUUCCAAAAAGAGCGUCUGCUUUUGAUUGGUCAAACAACAGGAAAGAACAAUGUUUCAGGAUCAUGAGUGUAUAUGAUUUUCUCUUUAUUUCGUACAGUUUUAACCUUCAUUUGUGGAUGGAGAGAUGAAAUUCUCAGCCAAUGCGGUGACCUCCACAACAGAUAUGUCUGUUUUUCAUGCAAUACAGCCUGAAAGUCAAAAGAUCAUCCCUCUUGUGUAGAUGUUCUUCAUCUUCUCUGGAUCCUCAGUUUUUAAAAGUGGAAAAUUACUUAAAAAAAAAGUCAAAGAAGCUUCAAAUUUCAGCUUACAUUCACAUGUUGGAGGCUGUAACCAGCACAGUUUGGCAUUUAUUUCUG
rnacentral:lncRNA from 1 species